rfam:Mesocricetus auratus contig017538, whole genome shotgun sequence.
AUUGUUGUUGUUGUUCAUAAAUGUCAUGAUUGGGUAUCCAUGCCAUUUUGUGAUAUGCCUCAUACCUUGUUGUAAUAUUAACAUAUUACACAUCUAGAUU